rnacentral:rRNA from 1 species
AGCGAACGCUGGCGGCAGGCUUAACACAUGCAAGUCGAGCGGGCGUAGCAAUACGUCAGCGGCAGACGGGUGAGUAACGCGUGGGAACGUACCGUUUGGUUCGGAACAACACAGGGAAACUUGUGCUAAUACCGGAUAAGCCCUUACGGGGAAAGAUUUAUCGCCGAAAGAUCGGCCCGCGUCUGAGUAGCUAGUUGGUAGGGUAAUGGCCUACCAAGGCGACGAUCAGUAGCUGGUCUGAGAGGAUGAUCAGCCACAUUGGGACUGAGACACGGCCCAAACUCCUACGGGAGGCAGCAGUGGGGAAUAUUGGACAAUGGGGGCAACCCUGAUCCAGCCAUGCCGCGUGAGUGAUGAAGGCCCUAGGGUUGUAAAGCUCUUUUGUGCGGGAAGAUAAUGACGGUACCGCAAGAAUAAGCCCCGGCUAACUUCGUGCCAGCAGCCGCCGUAACAC